rnacentral:lncRNA from 1 species
CUGCACGGGUCUUCCCGGCCCCGGCCCAGCUGCCCGGCCCCAUCUAUGAGAAGUGCAUGGCACCACCUUCUGCCAGCUGCUUGGGGGAUGCCCAGUUGGAGGGCCCGACGGGGGACAACGAGUUGGAGCUGGAGCCGGGGACCUCAGCCCAGGAGGAGGACCUGGAGGGUGUCGUGGAGGCCGUGGCUUGCUUUGCCUACACAGGC